rnacentral:rRNA from 1 species
AGCGAACGCUGGCGGCAGGCCUAACACAUGCAAGUCGAACGAACCUUUCGGGGUUAGUGGCGGACGGGUGAGUAACACGUGGGAACGUGCCUUUAGGUUCGGAAUAACUCAGGGAAACUUGUGCUAAUACCGAAUGUGCCCUUCGGGGGAAAGAUCUAUCGCCUUUAGAGCGGCCCGCGUCUGAUUAGCUAGUUGGUUGAGGUAAUGGCUCACCAAGGCGACGAUCAGUAGCUGGUCUGAGAGGAUGAUCAGCCACAUUGGGACUGAGACACGGCCCAAACUCCUACGGGAGGCAGCAGUGGGGAAUCGUGCGAAAUGGGCGAAAGCCUGACGCAGCCAUGCCGCGUGAAUGAUGAAGGUCUUAGGAUUGUAAAAUUCUUUCAACGGGGACGAUAAUGACGGUACCCGGAGAAGAAGCCCCGGCUAACUUCGUG